AAUCUGCAGCUGAAAGAAGAAAGAAGGGGCAUCUGGGAGCAGGAGACAUUCUGGUGUUGCGCCCACACAGACUUUGCUGGCAGCUCAGCUCACAGUUCCGGAAGAGACUACUUCCUUCUGCAUGAGGAGAGGAGAUGGGAGAGUGAAGAAAACUUUGUUUCGCCGCUUGGAUGCCAGCAGAGGAGAACAGGGUACCAGAAGGGGUCUUGCCCUGUAGCCACUACAGCUUGGAAUGGGCAUAGUCUCACCUGA
rnacentral:lncRNA from 1 species